UACGAAGGGUGCAAGCGUUAAUCGGAAUUACUGGGCGUAAAGCGUGCGCAGGCGGUUAUGUAAGACAGUUGUGAAAUCCCCGGGCUCAACCUGGGAAUUGCAUCUGUGACUGCAUAGCUAGAGUACGGUAGAGGGGGAUGGAAUUCCGCGUGUAGCAGUGAAAUGCGUAGAUAUGCGGAGGAACACCGAUGGCGAAGGCAAUCCCCUGGACCUGUACUGACGCUCAUGCACGAAAGCGUGGGGAGCAAACAGG
rnacentral:rRNA from 1 species